GGCCGAGAGCCGGCGCACGCGCAGACGGCGACCCCCGCCUCCGGCUCCCGGUCCCUUCCCGGGCCCGGAGCGCGAGGCCCCGCCCAGGACCGCCGCGCGUCUGCAGGCGGGGUCGGCCGCCUCUGGGUCCCGCUUGAAAUUCUGUAGAAGCCUGAAAGCUCGCGGAGCGCGGACUCCGAGUGAGUUUGAGGAUGUGUGCGGCUGGUGGCUGCGCCGGGGCCCCCGCGGAGAAGGUGGGGGGCCCCGACACCCGCUUGCUUGGACCGUGCGCUAUGAGAAGAUGAGGAAACUGAGGCACUGAGGACUUCAGGAACUUGCCCACUGUUUCACAGCCAGGAAGAGGCAGAUUGCAGAUUUGGAGCCCAGAGAGUGCUGUUCUUAGUGUACACUGCCUCCUUGAUGCUGCUGGUCUCCCCUGGUGCCACCUCCAGCUUCGGGCUCCAGAACCUUCACGGUCAGGCUCUGGGUUCUGACCUUUUCCUGUCUUCAGCAACUAAAGAAUAAGAAGCAGGCAGAGACACAGAUGCUCCACGGCAGCCCUCCACGGACACCCAGCAAGCGGCGAGGUCUGGCACCCAGCACUCUGGGCAAAGUGCGCAAGAUUCUAAGCUCCCAGGAUUCCAUUAUCACUGAGAUGCUAAGAGUGAACAGAUGUAAAGUGUCAAAAGCUAAAUGAGAAAAAGAAGAGAACAGUCAUUCGGAGCCCCAGCAAGUAUCAUGGAACGCCCUGGGAUGUGCCCAGGAAACUAGAGUCACCGGAGGCUCACUUCAAAAGCUGGUCUUCAGUUGCGGCUGAGCAAAGUCCCGGCCUGCGGGUUCCAGCCCGUUGACACUGGAUCACGAAACACAAAUAGGUGUCAUUACUUCUACCAGUUUGAGGAGAAAAACACCCGCUGGUGUCAAGCCUGGAACCAAUGAGAAGAACCUGGAGCUCAUUGGCAGCAUCCUCAGUGAAGGAUCCGUCCCUUUCUGACAGCUCCACUGUUGGGCUUCAGAGCUGCUAAAGCAGGGAUGGAGCACUGGAAGGAAGCGAUUUCUCCCAUGAUGCUCUCCGGCCCCUAGUAACCUGCUCCUUCACCAGCUCUGAACUGCCGUGCCCUUUCCUUCACGGUGGAUGUUCUCUCCUCCCUCUUUAUGUUCCUGGUGAGAGGCGAGGCUGCCCCUCACCCUGGGAGGGGAAUAUCGAGUUAAAGCUGAACGUUUGGUCAGUUUCUAUGUGCUUGAAAGCCUGGACAUGCUCCAUUACCCCGGGCCUCACUUACAGGAGUGAAUGAGUAACAGAUGGAAAUCCGUCACAGGCCCAGUGGGUCCUUAGACACUUGGUUUUAUUUUGACUCAAGAAAUGCCGUAAAACUUAGUUCAUAGCAGUAGGUGUAAGUUUGAGCGCAUGAACCUAACUCCAUUCCCUGCCCGUAACUGUGCUUGUGGAAGCCCUGCCAGGGGCUUGUCACUGGCUUCACCGUUACUCAGCAGGAUGAUCGUGCUCGUCCUCUGGCUGCGGGACGUGAAGCAGUUUUGGUUUGUGCACUUGGGGUUAGCAAGCGAUAUCUUUUUUUUUACGGACGUCGAAAUAAUGCAGUAGCUUCCAAGGCUUUGCUCUCACCUAAAGCCUGUCCCCAGCACUCAGGGGACAGCCUUCCUCCUGAUGGAGAUGUCUGGGUGUCAGAAGGUGCAAUGCCCUGACUCACUGCCCAACAGGUGACAGGGAGGCUGGGAGCACCUUUUUUUUGCCUUUUCUAGGGCCACGCCCAGGGCAUAUGGAGGUUCCCAGGCUAGGGGUCGAAUCGGAGCAGAAGCCGCCAGCCUAUACCAGGAUCACAGCAACGCAGGAUCUGAGCCACGUCUGCAACCUACACCACAGCUCUCGGCAACGCUGGAUCCUUAACCCACUGAGCAAGGUCAGGGAUCGAACCCGCAAGCUCAUGGUUCCUAGUCGGAUUCGUUAACCACUGCGCCACGACGGGAACUCCCAGGAGCACCUUUAUUACUGGGUACAGUUCUGUUUUGUAGGGCGGGGCCUUUGUAGGGUGUGCGUAUGCACACACAUGCUUGUCUGAACUCUGCUUCAGUUUUUCUCUGGGUCAAGUUCCUCCGCCCUCGUCACCUGCCAACUUAGUGGGAGGCCGUGUGGAUGGGCUGGGCCGUCUCCAUUGCGGAGACCUGGAACUUUGCACAUGUCAGUACUGGGGAGUUGUUCCUGCUGUAGUGUCCACAGCGAGACUCCUUCUUUACCUACCCUGUUGAUACUGUGCCCCCAAAGCACUAUUAUUUAUUCUUCUUGUGUGCCUGUGCCAGCACUACUGUCAGCACAUUAAAUGGUUCUCAGCUGCUUACCAGUGUGGACUUGGUCUGUGUCAGCCAUACUGUUUAGUCAUAUGUAUACAUGUCCUGAUUUUAAAAUAUAAAUGUAUUCUCAAAAUAAAUUAAAAUGUGUAUAAUUAAAUUUCAGAACUAU
rnacentral:lncRNA from 1 species